rnacentral:rRNA from 1 species
UCGAGAAUUUUUCUCAAUGGGGGCAACCCUGAAGGAGCGACGCCGCGUGGAGGAUGAAGGCUUUCGGGUUGUAAACUCCUGUCAUUUGGGAACAAGUUGGACGCAGUUACUACGCGUCCAUUGAUAGUACCAGAAGAGGAAGAGACGGCUAACUCUGUGCCAGCAGCCGCGGUAAUACAGAGGUCUCAAGCGUUGUUCGGAUUCAUUGGGCGUAAAGGGUGCGUAGGUGGCGCUGUAAGUCAGGUGUGAAAUUUCGGAGCUUAACUCCGAAACUGCAUUCGAUACUGCGGUGCUUGAGGACUGGAGAGGAGACUGGAAUUUACGGUGUAGCAGUGAAAUGCGUAGAGAUCGUAAGGAAGACCAGUGGCGAAGGCGGGUCUCUGGACAGUUCCUGACACUGAGGCACGAAGGCCAGGGGAGCAAACGGGAUUAGAUACCCGGGUAGUCC